AUUUAAAUAAAGGGGAACUUCUCUGUUUGCUUAGUCUGUUCAAGGCAGUAAGAAAACAAGCACAGAUCGCUAACUUAAGUUCUUUAGGAAUGGCAAAUGCUAAUGAAACCCUGUUAAAAUGUUUUAAAAACAGCUCAAAAGAGGUACAGAACACAAAACAGCAACGGAGAGCAUAAGAAAAAAGCUACUUACAGGAAAAAGAGGCUGAUGAAUACCACAGACACCCAGAAACAACUGGAAAGUGAUCUCAAUGUCUGUCUUCUCAGCUGACUACAGCAAAAACACCAAGGGAAAGCUGAACUGUUGCCAAGAAGGAAGAUAAACUUGCAGGCAUUUAAGAUAAAUGAACAGAUUACAAAUUCACAUACAGGAGAGCAUGCAAUGCAGGUAGACUUCUGGACUUCAGCCUUUUAAUUCAAGGCACUUCUGGUACAAAAACAAACCCUUAACAGUGCCAUUAAAGGCAUUCUCCAUCCUCUCCUAACAGAAGGCAAACCUCUCUGCACCAGCAGUGCUGUUACGUUCACCCCAAAGGUGGCAACUGCUGCCUGGACACCGUGUAAGCAACAAGCUGUGGCUGUUCCGUGGCACUCUGCUAUCCAAACAGAGAACACACAACUGUGGCAUAAAAACUGCUUUCACACUGCUCUAAGAUAAAUACUGCCUUGCCAACACAUUUCCAGCAAAUAGCUAAAGCAGAGUCCAUAUUUCAGCAUCUAAACACAGAUUCACAGCAGACAAGAAAACGAGUUGGAAAUAACCACACUGCCUGAUUUUGUAUUAGCUGUCGGUUGAUUUGGAUGAAGAAUCAAGCAGCCUACAAGAAGAGGGUCAUUUAGUAUGGCUUCUUGGCAAACUUCACAGUUCUGCCCCCCAAAAUGCUAAGUACCUUAAUGUUCAUGGCUCAGGCAUGCCUUCAGCCCCACAGCAUGGCCUCAAGAGGGGCCAGCAUGAGCUGCAGGAGAAAGGCACUGCAGCUCCAGAUUCCACUGUCUCCACAAAAAUAACCUGCCAUCACAUAACUACCAAAGAAGCAAAUUGCCACUGGAAAAGCCUCUCUGCUUAUAAAAAUCAGAAAGGCUGUAGCAAUUUGAAGCCACACAUAUCUUGUGUGCCACGUAUGUCAGCAGCAGGGCAAAGAAAGCUGGCAAGGCAAAGCAAGAAUGGGUCUGAAGAGAGUAAUGUGCAUACAGGGAGACAGAAAAUGUUAUCAGAGGAGAAAGAAAAUAUUAUCAGAGUCACACUACCUGUUUUACAGUCUCAGAAAGGAGGUGUGGAUAUCCCUAAACUGUCUGAGGAGAUAUGUCAUCCAAUUGCUUUUAUCUCUGAAUGCUCUUGCCGUUGCCAUUAAGCAUCUGGGAGUGGAUUUUCUUCAUUCUUCAGCCAAGAACAUGUCUAUGCAUGACAGGUGCUGUGCCACCUUUGUUUGAGGCAGCAGAUCUGCAAAGGACAGACAAGCCAAACUGCAGAAGUAGAUGCCGAAGUUUCUUCUCCCAAGGUGGAUGCUUCAGAAAAUUACUUCAACCCACAGAUUUCAUAGAUGAAGACAGAGCCACCUGGAACUAACCAACAGGUAACAGCUGGGAGAAGGGCCUGCCUGGGGAUCCCACCCAUCACAGACUUUUCCCUGCUCUGGGCUGCCAGGCAGCACCUGCAUCUACUCACUGCUCACUUCAGCAGAUAAAGAAAUCAUCACCUCUGCAAUGACUCCUUCAAACCACCAGGCACAGCUCAUCCCUCCUUUUGAAAACGUGCACAGAGGAAUACCUUGGGAUUUGAAGAAAAACUGCCUAGAGCUGCUGUCUCUAGGUGAAUGCUUUGAUCCCCAGGGAAGAAAUUAAGUUGAGCAAAAAGCACUUUCCACUGUGCAAAAGCAUUGUAACUGAAAUUCUGGGGGCUUUUUUAUGUUAACUCAAGUUUUGCCUUAGUCUUUACACUUUAACCUCUAAGGCAAUGCUUUCACUGAAUGAAAAAAAACAAACAUCCACCAUUUCACAAAAU
ensembl:lncRNA